rnacentral:rRNA from 1 species
ACGCUCGACACCUACGGAGGCAGCAGUGGGGAAUAUUGCACAAUGGGGGAAACCCUGAUGCAGCGACGCCGCGUGGAGGAAGAAGGUCUUCGGAUUGUAAACUCCUGUUGUUGGGGAAAAAGAGGAUGGUACCCAACAAGGAAGUGACGGCUAACUACGUGCCAGCAGCCGUGGUAAUCUGAGCGGGCUGGCGAAGGC